GUUUCCGUACAUCUCCUUGCAUCACGUUUUACAGGUUAGGGGAAAAUAACCAGUUUGGCUGCAUUAGCUGAGGUGUGUGUGUGAGUACAUCAGAUGUGUGGGGUGUGUGUGUUGGCCCAUAAAAGGACAGGAAAGGAGUGGCCGGUACAGUUUAAAAAAGAAACUGGUGAACAAAGCGCUGGUGAUAGAUGAUACAGGUCUUCAGUUCACUUAGACUCCUGAGCAGAGACCAGGGACUCACACAGACUUUCAGCUUCCCAGAGGUCAGCUGACUCUGCUCAAAUAUACCAGGACAUGGCGGACAGAUGUUGGUCUUCUGGUGACUUUGUUGUGCACCGUGAGGUUCUCGAUGAGAAUCGUCUGGAUGAAGUGGCUCAAAAAGGGACAUGGUCCACCAAACCGACUGUGGGGGAGAGGGUGAGGGAGUCGCUCAGGUGUUCUGUGCCCAAGCUGAAGCACAUGGUUCUGACCUGGAUUCCCAUUCUGGCCUGGCUGCCUGGUUACUCAUUCAGAGAAAAUGCCAUGGGCGACCUGAUAUCUGGCUGCAGUGUGGGCAUUAUGCAUUUGCCACAGGGCAUGGCGUACGCAUUUCUGGCCUCUGUACGCCCGGUGUUUGGACUUUACACGUCCCUGUACCCGGUGCUGAUCUACUUCAUCUUUGGCACCUCCAGGCACAUCUCCAUAGGUACAUUUGCUGUCAUCAGCAUCAUGGUUGGGGGCGUGACAGAGAGACUGGCGCCAGACAGUGACUUUAUGACAAACGGCACCAACAGGACUGUGAACAUUGAUGCAAGAGACUCGUACAGAGUCCAAGUAGCCUGCUCCCUCACCGCCUUGGCAGGUAUCUUUCAGAUCCUGCUGGGCAUAGUGAGGUUUGGAUUUGUGGUGACCUACCUGUCAGAGCCUCUUGCUCGAGGCUACACCACAGCAGCGGCUUGCCAUGUGUGUGUGUCCCAGCUGAAGUACCUGUUUGGAGUCAGACCAGCUCGCUUCGCUGGUCCUUUUGCCAUUAUUUACACUCUGGUGGAUAUUUGCAAACUGCUGCCUCAGACCAGGGCUCCAGAGCUGGUGAUCAGCCUGGUGGCAAUCACGGUUCUCAUUGUGGUCAAAGAAAUCAAUGAACGCCACAGACAGAAGCUUCCCCUGCCAUUCCCCAUCGAGCUCCUAGUAAUCAUAGCAGCAACAAUCAUCACCCACUUCUGCGGCCUCCCCGCUACGUACCGCGUGGAUGUGGUUGGAGAGAUUCCCAGUGGGCUCAAGGCCCCUCGUGCUCCUGAUCCGACUUUAUUUUCACAGAUUAUAGGUGAUGCUUUCGCUGUGGCCAUCGUGGGUUAUGCCAUCACCAUUUCUUUGGGUAAAACGUUCGCCCUCAAACAUGGCUACAAAGUGGACAGCAAUCAGGAGCUGGUUGCAGUGGGGCUCUGCAACGCCAUCGGUGCUUGUUUCUGGUGUUACGCAGUGACUUCCUCUUUGUCUCGGAGUCUUGUCCAGGAGAGCACUGGGGGAAGGACACAAAUUGCAGGGGUGGUCUCUUCAGUAGUUGUGCUGAUCGCAGUUUUGAAAAUCGGUUCCUUGUUUGAAGAUCUCCCCAAGGCCGUCUUGUCCACCAUCGUGUUUGUGAAUUUGAAAGGAAUGUUUAAGCAGUUCAUGGACAUGUCCUUGCUGUGGAAAACCAACAAGGUUGACCUGCUGGUGUGGCUGGUGACGUUUGUUAGUACCAUCCUGCUCAAUCUGGACAUGGGUCUGGCUGUCUCCAUCGGCUUUUCCAUGCUCACCAUCAUCUUCAGAGCACAAGUGCCACGCUACUCCAUCCUGGGCAACGUACCAGACACUGACCUGUAUCUAGACAUGGAGACCUACAGGGCGGCCAGAGAGAUUCCAGGAAUAAAAAUCAUCCGCUCAUCAGCAACCAUUAACUUCACAAAUGCUGAGAUGUACAGGGAAUUCCUUCAGGAGAAGAGUGGAAUUGAAUUUGCAAAGAUGCAAGCAGAGAAGAAGAAACAAGAUGCAAGGCAGAGGUGUGAGCAAAAGAAAAACAAAAAGGAGGCAAAGAAAAAGCAGAAUAAAACCAUGAUCCAUUUGAACAAUACUUUCAACUCUCUGAGGGAUUUGGAGCUGAACGGGGGAAACGAAUGUGCAGUAACAAAGGAGAAGUGUAACCAGACAGAAGUGGCUUUAGACCUGACAAACACAAGUCCCAGUAAAGGUCAGGUGAACUGGGCCUACCAAGCGGACACCAACAUGUCAGACUCAGAUUCAGACUCAAGCUCCCACACUGAUGAGGCCCCAGAGGUUCUCUAUCAAGGAGAUGACACCAGUACCUUCAGAUCAGACAUUCACAGUGUCAUCCUGGACAUGUCCACAACCAGCUCUGUGGACACGGUCACCGUGAAAUUUAUGAAAACUAUUUUCAGGGAAUUUAAAGAAGUUGAUAUGGACAUCUAUCUAGCAAGCUGUCAAGGUAACGACCACACCAGACAAAACAGAUGGCUGAUAAAUUCAAGGUCCCGGCUUUGGUCACAUUCCUCCCAUGUGACAGAAAAAAAUCAAAAAUAUGUGUGCAUUUUUGUUGUUGUUGUCUGGUUAAAUAUUAGUGUGUGUGGUGGAGCAGCUGGAGAAGGCUGACUUCUUCUCUGAGCUCGUCCCAAAGAGCAUACUGUUUGUCUCGGUUCAUGACGCAGUGCUGCAUGUUCUCAGGAAGCGGGAGCAGACUGACUCCAUGACUGGUACUGCUUGUGAUACUCAAAUGUGACCAGCAGGGGUCACAUUACUUCAAAUUCGGCCAUCUUCAUCCCCCUCUUCCUCCUCCCUCUCCUCUGCCUUGCUCACCAUUGGUCACCAAUGUCUCCUCCCCCCUUUCUGUGGUGGAAAAUGCACCCACCUUGACAUGGCAGGUGGUUGUCAUGGGAACACAGGGGACUGUUGCUGUGGCAACGGGCUUUUUAUGAUAUGGUCUAAUGAGAUGGCAGGCAAUACGUCACUGCGGCUCUCUUGCUCUGUGGUGAACGUGUGAGACACAGAGGCAGGGGAUGAGUGGGAGAAUGCAACAGUGGACUAAUGGGAGUCUGCAUUUAUAGCCUGGAUGAGAGAAUGAAAGGCUGAAUGAAAGGGGAAACAGGAGUGUGUGUGUGUGUGUGUGUGUGUGUGUGUGUGUGUGUGUGAGAGAGAGAGAGAGAGAGAGAGAGAGAGAGAGAGAGAGAGAGAGAGAGAGAGUGCUCGAACAGAGUUCAGUUCCUGGUUUAUUCCAAAGUCCUUUAAGAAUAACCUGAGAGGAGAUAAGUGUGAUAGCUGUUACAUUUAAACAAAGAGGAAACGUAGCCCUCCUCACUCUUGAGUCUUCUUUUAUUAUCAGGUUUAGUCGCAGCUGAAUUAGUUUAUUAGAAUGUUUUGUUGUAUUACCUCACAUAAGAAAAGUCACAGCUGAGUUGUUCUGGCAACUUUCAAAGAUUAAAGUUGAAAAAAAAUGUUUAAAAUGUCAAAAAGCCACAAUAAAAUGUGCUUCUGUGGACUGAAAGCUCUAAAUAAUAAUCAAAUUUGCUCACUAAUACUUUUUCAAUGUCCAUGCAUUAUGCUACAAAACACGGCCAUUUGUGCUGAUAAACAAAAUUUUAAUGUAGUUUUUAUGUGAUCGUGGCAGUUUUCCUUAUUCUGUGUGUCUGUAAAUAUUUAAUGUUUGUUUUUAUGUGAAAUUGUUUAAUAAAGACAAACCAUUAUAUCCAUCUUCAUCCAAUCAUUUAUUGCCUCUCUCUUUUCCAUCCCCACAAUCCAGUCUCCCGGCAUUUCAACCAAAUGCUUCUCUUUCUUUUGAUAUGGAAAUAAUUCCCAUUUC